CAUACUCGCAUCUCUCUCUAGCCACCGAAACUCAUCCAUGAAAUCAAAACCCAUAAAAAUAGUUUUACCGUAACCCCUAACCCUCCCUCACGAUCUGUAUAAAACCGAAACCCAAAAAUAGUCCUCCCUCUCGAUCUCCAUAAAAUCGAAACCCAAAAGCCCCCUCUCUCUCGAUCUCCAUAAAACCGAAGAACAAAUCGUGAAAAAUAGAAUGAAUCAAUGUUAGUUCAAGUUCUUGGACUUCAAGAGCAAAAGAUGAAGCUGCUAUUUUGGAGAGACCACUUUGCCAUUGUGAGAUUCCAUCAAAACUAAGGAUUUCUGCCAAACAUACUAGUUUUGGCAGACGGUUUUUUAAUUGUCUAAACUAUAAGAUGAAGAAACAAUUCUUAUUUUUUCAAUGGAUUGAUUUUGAAAUGGAACAAAACAGUUGCUGCAAAAUGACAAUAGAGUUAGCUCAAAGAAGGAACGACAAGAUCAAUUAAGAACGUGUAAUGGCUGAAGAAGCAAAGUUUAAAACUAUGGAAAAGAAGUAUAAGGGAACAUUAUUCUUGUUAUGGUUCUGUAUUAUUGUACUUUGUGCUGUAAUUAUGUUGAAGUUUGAACGAUAAACAACUCAAUAAAUGUAAUCCUUGAAAAUGAGCUUGAUGUAUA